rnacentral:miRNA from 1 species
ACUGUUUUCUUUUGGUGUUUAGA